UAGGGAUAGCAAUGGAAAGCCCACAGGGAGGCACGACCGAGGACUUGUAAUGUAUAGCCCGACCCUUG
rnacentral:misc_RNA from 1 species